CAGGGGCGGAUGCAUUGGGGAGCGCUCUACACACCGCUCACUGCGGACCGUCGUAACGGCCUCUUUGCACCUCAUGCCAUCAAAUCCCUGCACAUGUUCAUGAGCCCCCAAGACCCAGAGGGAGCACUGUUGUGGACGGAGACGACCAUGGAGUCGCCCCUUUAAAUCCUGGACGCCCCGCCUGCUCCCGCCCCCUUGCCCUCGAGGGAGAAAGCCCCGCCUUCCUGCCCCAAACUGGAGCCGAUUGGCUUCUAACAGGCGCAAUGAGAUCCACUGAGCCCUCUGAGGCCCCGCCCACUUCUCUGACCCCGCGGGACUAGAAGGCACAGGAGCAACUGCACUGCUCGGACUCCAGCGGAAACCACGCCCCCUCCAAUCCUUAAAGGGCCAGAAGCAGCUCCUACUGCUCCUGCCCUUCCGCACUUUUGGGGGGCAGGGUGCGCAGGCGCAGUGGGGGACCUCUGGGGUGGGGGUAGUGGUCGAGUAUCAAGUUGCUCUCUGUCCCGGCAGAAGAAGCCAGAGCGCUGACCAUCCAGGCUCCAGCUUGCUCCCUUCUACAUCAAUUGGAGGGGAAAAGUUUGUGAAUUGGGCCUCCAAGUUUUGGGGGAUCCGGGCUUGCGGCGAGGGGUGACAGAGAAGGUUCGUGGAAGGGGCCUCCAUUAGCUCCCCCCCACCCGCAUGGAGCUCACCCAGCCUUCAGAGGACCUCAGCCUGACCCAGCAGCCUCCCACCCCAGAAUUUGGGGAACCUGAAGACCCCAGGGAUGAGGCCCAGGAUGGCUCAGACACAGUGGUGCUCAGUCUCUUCCCCUGCACCCCAGAGCCUGGGAAUCCUGAACCAGAUGCUGGCGCCUCUUCACCUCAGGGCAACUCCCUAAAGCACUCCACGACCCUCACCAACCGGCAGCGGGGGAAUGAGGUCUCGGCCCUGCCAGCCACCCUGGACUCCCUGUCCAUCCACCAGCUUGCAGCCCAGGGAGAGCUGAGCCAGCUGAAGGAGCAUCUGAGGAAAGCUUUGGGGAGAGUGGGCAGGGGUGCAGCCCAGUGGUACCACCCCCUCCUGCCAGGCGACAACCUCAUCAACAAGCCGGACGAGCGUGGCUUCACCCCCCUCAUCUGGGCCUCAGCCUUCGGAGAGAUAGAGACCGUCCGAUUCUUGCUUGAGUGGGGUGCCGACCCCCACAUACUGGCCAAGGAGCGGGAGAGCGCCCUGUCACUGGCCAGCACAGGAGGCUACACAGACAUCGUGGGGCUGCUGCUCGAGCGUGAUGUGGACAUCAACAUUUACGACUGGAAUGGAGGGGACGCCACUGCUCUAUGCCGUGCGUGGGAACCAUGUGAAGUGCGUGGAGGCCUUGCUGGCCCGAGGAGCUGAUCUCACCACUGAAGCUGACUCUGGCUACACCCCAAUGGAUCUCGCUGUGGCUCUGGGAUACCGGAAAGUGCAACAGGUGAUCGAGAACCACAUCCUCAAGCUCUUCCAGAAUAACCUGGUGCCCGACGAUCCUGAGUGAAGGCCACCCACCCCACAGGGACUCAGACUCUCAGGGAACAAAGCGGUCGACCCAGAGUUGGGGGAACCCAGAACUGGCUUCAAAGGCAGCUCCUGGACAGAUGGUGGGAGGGAUCCUUCCCAGCAGAAAUCAAUAAACCUGUGCAGAACUUGAA